rnacentral:misc_RNA from 1 species
AUGAGUUUUGAACAAAGUUGUUCUGGUCUUUCGGGGCAAGUGAACACUUCACUCAAUCCAUCUUACACCUGUGCAUCUUUUGUGGGGAAAAGCUGAGGAUUCAAGUUGGUUAACGACGGCAAAUCCUUGUAUGUGUCCUUGUACCUUCUACAUACAAACAACAGUCAUAAGAAAGUCUUUAUUGCUUGAUGCAAUACAAAAUAAAUA